rnacentral:rRNA from 1 species
ACUCCUACGGGAGGCAGCAGUCGAGAAUUUUUCUCAAUGGGGGCAACCCUGAAGGAGCGACGCCGCGUGGAGGAUGAAGGUCUUCGGGUUGUAAACCCCUUUCAGUUGGGACGAAGCUCCGUCGGUGAAUAGCCGGCUGGGGUGACGGUACCUUCAGAAGAAGCCCCGGCUAACUACGUGCCAGCAGCCGCGGUAAU